rnacentral:antisense_RNA from 1 species
GUGCGCAGGCGCUUGUCCCUUCGCGGGGUUGCCCGUGCGCUUCGCCUGCGGGGUCGUGCUGGGGCCGCGGGUAUGCUAUUUGAAGAAUAGGUUUCCAUGCUCUUAGAGGAGCAUCAGAAAAUGAACAAACCCCAGAAGUCCAGAAAUUAAGAGACCUGAUAAAGGGAAGCCAGGAAAAUUGAGAUACAUAUUUGUGGUACACUUCAAUCCUCAGUAACAACACACUGACUAAGAAGAGGGAGUACAUUUUUGGGAAAAACCUUAAUCCAGGUGCAAACCCGGUUUCUUCAAGAAAAAUAACCUGUCAGUAUGACUCAUGUGGAAUGAGUUUGAAUAUGUUUCAGAAUCAAGUAUUAGUGACAAAAAUUAUUCCAGUAAUAACACUGAUGAAAUUAAUAUAAGUGAGAAGUUGCCUUUUGAUAGUAAUCAGGAAAACACUCAUACUGGAAAGAAAUCUGUUGAAUAUAACCAAAGUGGGAAGUCACCAAGUCAUAGUGAGGACCUUACUGAGGAACAGGAAAGUCAAGCUUUGA